AGACCCGAAACCCGGUGAUCUAGCCAUGGGCAGGUUGAAGGUUGGGUAACACUAACUGGAGGACCGAACCGACUAAUGUUGAAAAAUUAGCGGAUGACUUGUGGCUGGGGGUGAAAGGCCAAUCAAACCGGGAGAUAGCUGGUUCUCCCCGAAAGCUAUUUAGGUAGCGCCUCGUGAAUUCAUCUCCGGGGGUAGAGCACUGUUUCGGCAAGGGGGUCAUCCCGACUUACCAACCCGAUGCAAACUGCGAAUACCGGAGAAUGUUAUCACGGGAGACACACGGCGGGUGCUAACGUCCGUCGUGAAGAGGGAAACAACCCAGACCGCCAGCUAAGGUCCCAAAGUCAUGGUUAAGUGGG
rnacentral:rRNA from 1 species